rnacentral:rRNA from 1 species
GACGAACGCUGGCGGCGUGCUUAACACAUGCAAGUCGAACGGAAAGGCCCUGCUUUUGUGGGGUGCUCGAGUGGCGAACGGGUGAGUAACACGUGAGUAACCUGCCCUUGACUUUGGGAUAACUUCAGGAAACUGGGGCUAAUACCGGAUAGGAGCUCCUGCUGCAUGGUGGGGGUUGGAAAGUUUCGGCGGUUGGGGAUGGACUCGCGGCUUAUCAGCUUGUUGGUGGGGUAGUGGCUUACCAAGGCUUUGACGGGUAGCCGGCCUGAGAGGGUGACCGGCCACAUUGGGACUGAGAGACGGCCCAGACGCCUACGGGAGGCAGCAGUGGGGAAUAUGGCACAAUGGGCGGAAGCCUGAGGCAGCAACGCCGCGUGCGGGAUGACGGCCUUCGGGGUGUAAACCGCUUUCGCCUGUGACGAAGCGUGAGUGACGGUAAUGGGUAAAGAAGCACCGGCUAACUACGUG